AAAACGACUCAUACGAGACUCGAACUCGUACUCUCUGCCGUGACAGGGCAGUGUGUUAACCAGUUACACCAAUGAGCCA
rnacentral:tRNA from 1 species